GGCAGUUCGAGGAGCUCAACAAAACUGGCUUAAGAUGGGAAUUUGCAGGCACUAUGGUCAAAUCAAAGGUGUUCUGCAUCUGUUGCUGUGCAGAUUCCCCUGCUAGAGCUGCAAUGCAGCACAUGGUGCAGUUUAAUGGUUAUUAUGGCUGCAGCUGGUGCUACCACCCAGGUGUAAAUGUUGAUGGUACUGUCAAAUACUGCCUUACCACACCC
rnacentral:lncRNA from 1 species